rnacentral:lncRNA from 1 species
CUGGGAUGAACAGAGCCUUUUCGUCCUGAAAGCAAGCAGGAAUGUCUGCAGGGAAAGCCACUCUUUCAUAUACCUGGGGGAAGAGAAAGGAAGAAGAGUAUUAAGGAGACAGGAAAAUGCCCAUUUUCUCUGUAUAAGGUAAGGCUGUCUGUGUCUAU